AUGCAGCCACCACCAGGGUAUUCUGUUCCUGAUGGCAUGGUAUGUUGUUUUUGUCUCUCUCUUUAUGGCCUUAAGCAAGCCCCUUGUGCCUGGUUUGAGCGUUUUGCAUCUGUGGUGACCGCCGCUGGUUUUUCAGCGAGUGCUCAUGAUCCGGCGCUGUUUGUCCACCUUGCAACUCGUGGUCGGACUCUUCUUCUUCUAUAUGUUGAUGACAUGAUCAUCACUGGCGAUGACCCUGAGUACAUUGCCUUUAUCAAGGCCCAUCUCCGUGAGCGGUUUCUUAUGUCCGAUCUUGGUCCUCUUCGUUACUUUCUUGGGAUUGAGGUUUCCUCCCACCUCUGA
rnacentral:rRNA from 1 species